AGAGUUUGAUCAUGGCUCAGAUUGAACGCUGGCGGCAGGCCUAACACAUGCAAGUCGAGCGGUAGCACAGAGAGCUUGCUCUCGGGUGACGAGCGGCGGACGGGUGAGUAAUGUCUGGGAAACUGCCUGAUGGAGGGGGAUAACUACUGGAAACGGUAGCUAAUACCGCAUAACGUCGCAAGACCAAAGUGGGGGACCUUCGGGCCUCAUGCCAUCAGAUGUGCCCAGAUGGGAUUAGCUAGUAGGUGGGGUAACGGCUCACCUAGGCGACGAUCCCUAGCUGGUCUGAGAGGAUGACCAGCCACACUGGAACUGAGACACGGUCCAGACUCCUACGGGAGGCAGCAGUGGGGAAUAUUGCACAAUGGGCGCAAGCCUGAUGCAGCCAUGCCGCGUGUGUGAAGAAGGCCUUCGGGUUGUAAAGCACUUUCAGCGGGGAGGAAGGCGNNCGAUUGACGUUACCCGCAGAAGAAGCACCGGCUAACUCCGUGCCAGCAGCCGCGGUAAUACGGAGGGUGCAAGCGUUAAUCGGAAUUACUGGGCGUAAAGCGCACGCAGGCGGUCUGUCAAGUCGGAUGUGAAAUCCCCGGGCUCAACCUGGGAACUGCAUUCGAAACUGGCAGGCUAGAGUCUUGUAGAGGGGGGUAGAAUUCCAGGUGUAGCGGUGAAAUGCGUAGAGAUCUGGAGGAAUACCGGUGGCGAAGGCGGCCCCCUGGACAAAGACUGACGCUCAGGUGCGAAAGCGUGGGGAGCAAACAGGAUUAGAUACCCUGGUAGUCCACGCCGUAAACGAUGUCGAUUUGGAGGUUGUGCCCUUGAGGCGUGGCUUCCGGAGCUAACGCGUUAAAUCGACCGCCUGGGGAGUACGGCCGCAAGGUUAAAACUCAAAUGAAUUGACGGGGGCCCGCACAAGCGGUGGAGCAUGUGGUUUAAUUCGAUGCAACGCGAAGAACCUUACCUGGUCUUGACAUCCACAGAACUUUCCAGAGAUGGAUUGGUGCCUUCGGGAACUGUGAGACAGGUGCUGCAUGGCUGUCGUCAGCUCGUGUUGUGAAAUGUUGGGUUAAGUCCCGCAACGAGCGCAACCCUUAUCCUUUGUUGCCAGCGGUCCGGCCGGGAACUCAAAGGAGACUGCCAGUGAUAAACUGGAGGAAGGUGGGGAUGACGUCAAGUCAUCAUGGCCCUUACGACCAGGGCUACACACGUGCUACAAUGGCAUAUACAAAGAGAAGCGACCUCGCGAGAGCAAGCGGACCUCAUAAAGUAUGUCGUAGUCCGGAUUGGAGUCUGCAACUCGACUCCAUGAAGUCGGAAUCGCUAGUAAUCGUAGAUCAGAAUGCUACGGUGAAUACGUUCCCGGGCCUUGUACACACCGCCCGUCACACCAUGGGAGUGGGUUGCAAAAGAAGUAGGUAGCUUAACCUUCGGGAGGGCGCUUACCACUUUGUGAUUCAUGACUGGGGUGAAGUCGUAACAAGGUAACCGUAGGGGAACCUGCGGUUGGAUCACCU
rnacentral:rRNA from 1 species